rnacentral:rRNA from 1 species
UGGGGAAUCUUGCGCAAUGGGGGCAACCCUGACGCAGCCAUACCGCGUGUGCGAUGAAGGUCUUCGGAUUGUAAAGCACUUUCAGUGGGGACGACGAUGACGGUACCCACAGAAGAAGUCACGGCUAACUUCGUGCCAGCAGCCGCGGUAAUACGAAGGUGGCGAAUGUUGCUCGGAUUCACUGGGCGUAAAGCGUCGGUAGGUGGUUUGUUAAGUCAGAGGUGAAAGCCCCGCGCUCAACGUGGGAAUUGCCUUUGAAACUGAUGAACUUGAAGGUAUGAGAGGAUGGCGGAAUGACUGGUGUAGAGGUAAAAUUCAUAGAUAUCAGUCGGAACACCCAAGGCGAAGGCAGCUAUCUGGCAUAUUCUUGACACUGAGCGACGACAGCGUGGGGAGCAAA